rnacentral:rRNA from 1 species
CACGUAGUUAGCCGGAGCUUAUUCUACAGGUACUGUCAUUAUCUUCCCUGUCUAAAGCAGUUUACAAUCCGAAAACCUUCUUCCUGCACGCGGCGUCACUGCGUCAGAGUUUCCUCCAUUGCGCAAUAUUCCCGACUGCUGCCUCCCGUAGGAGUCUGGGCCGUAUCUCAGUCCCAAUGUGGCCGUUCAACUUCUCAGUCCGGCUACUGAUCGUCGACUUGGUAGGCCGUUACCCCCACCAACUAUCUAAUCAGACGCAAGCCCAUCUAUCAGCGGAUUGCUCCUUUCCCAUUUAUAUCAUGUGAUAUUCAUGGCAUAUGCGGUAUUAGCAGUCAUUUCUAACUGUUGUUCCCCUCUGAUAGGCAGGUUGCUUACGUGUUACUCACCAGUCCGCCACUAACCGCUCCAAUAGUAAACUAAUGGUUAAGUCCGUUCGACUUGCAUGUCUUAUGUGCGCCGCCAGCGUUUAUCCUGAGCCAGGAUCAAA